rnacentral:rRNA from 1 species
GUGGGGAAUUUUGGACAAUGGGCGCAAGCCUGAUCCAGCAAUGCCGCGUGCAGGAAGAAGGCCUUCGGGUUGUAAACUGCUUUUGUACGGAACGAAACGGUCCUGGUUAAUACCUGGGGCUAAUGACGGUACCGUAAGAAUAAGCACCGGCUAACUACGUGCCAGCAGCCGCGGUAAUACGUAGGGUGCAAGCGUUAAUCGGAAUUACUGGGCGUAAAGCGUGCGCAGGCGGUUUUGUAAGACAGGCGUGAAAUCCCCGGGCCCAACCUGGGAAUUGCGCUUGUGACUGCAAGGCUGGAGUGCGGCAGAGGGGGAUGGAAUUCCGCGUGUAGCAGUGAAAUGCGUAGAUAUGCGGAGGAACACCGAUGGCGAAGGCAAUCCCCUGGGCCUGCACUGACGCUCAUGCACGAAAGCGUGGGGAGCAAACAGGAUUAGAAACCCUUGUAGUCC